rnacentral:rRNA from 1 species
UUCGAUUGAUCCUUCGGGUGAUUUUGUUUUAACUUAGUGGCGGACGGGUGAGUAACGCGUGAGCAACCUGCCUCUGCGUGGGGGAUAACGACUGGAAACGGUCGCUAAUACCGCAUAACGUAGCGAGAUCGCAUGUUCUUGCUACCAAAGAUUUAUUGCGCAGAGAUGGGCUCGCGUCUGAUUAGAUAGUUGGUGGGGUAACGGCCUACCAAGUCUGCGAUCAGUAGCCGGACUGAGAGGUUGAACGGCCACACUGGAACUGAGAAACGGUCCAGACUCCUACGGGAGGCAGCAGUGGGGAAUAUUGGGCAAUGGGCGAAAGCCUGACCCAGCGACGCCGCGUGCGGGAAGACGGUCUUCGGAUUGUAAACCGCUGUUGAUAGGGAAGAACAAUGACGGUACCUAUCGAGGAAGUCACGGCUAACUACGUGCCAGCAGCCGCGGUAAUACGUAGGUGGCGAGCGUUAUCCGGAUUUACUGGGUGUAAAGGGUGUGUAGGCGGGAUGGUAAGUCAGAUGUGAAAUCCGGGGGCUCAACCCCCGGCCUGCAUUUGAAACUGCUGUUCUUGAGUGUCGGAGAGGUAAACGGAAUUCCCAGUGUAGCGGUGAAAUGCGUAGAUAUUGGGAGGAACACCAGUGGCGAAGGCGGUUUACUGGACGACAACUGACGCUGAGACACGAAAG